GAUGCGUGUUGGCUGGCUCGAAUUGAGCAACUCCCCUCCUCCGAGAGUGCUGAUUAACCGGAUUGUUUCAGAAUUUCAAGCAAGUACUUAUAUUUUGGCUCAGAUGCAUGUUGGCUGCCUAGAAUUGAGCAACUACCCUCCUCCAAGAGUGCUAAUUAACCGGAUUGUUUCAGAAUUUCAAAUGAGAAUUAUCACAUGACAAACUAUGCUUUCGACAAGUUUGUCUCCAUCAUCACGCAGAUGGAGACCUUGCAAGAGCUCGCUGGUGCAGUUAAAAGUCAAUCUCUGAGAAGUAAAACAAAUGGAGAUUUCAGUAUCUAAUGGAUCAAUAUAUAUUAUUCAUGUUUCAUGAAAUCAACAUAGCUUUAUUUUUCAAAUUGUAUGAGGUUGUCCAUUUGUAUCUUGUGAAACAAACAGUGUCCAGUUAAAAUUCCCAUAUAUGUUUGUCCUUUGCAAUUCUCUUGUUCUUAUUUUUAUGCAAUUAGUACAUCCAUUUCAUAAAAUCAGAAGGUCCACACUAUCUAGGCCCGUGUUCACUGUCAUCUGCCAUGUAUGUAAUUUGGGUUGGAUCUAUGGCACUUGCUUACAGAAUUUUUUCAUGAGAUCUGGAAAAUCCUAUGCUUCUGAUUAUACCGAGCGAUGUAGUUAAUG